rnacentral:misc_RNA from 1 species
UUUCCAGAGAGAUGGCGCGUCGGUCAUGAAGAUAGGGAAAAAUCAGGCCGCGAAGUUGUUUUCAAGGCGGGGCUUUGUGCGUCGCCUGGCAACGGACUGGUUUUUCCACAGGCCGUGUGAGGCUGUAAACAUGGUCUCACUACAUAUGUAUUAAGAUUUUUUCAUUAGAAAACUCAGUGUCAAAGAGAAUAUGAACUCAAGUCAGUUACCAUGGCAAGUGGAAAUAGUGAAGAUGCUAAAAUUGGCUCGGAUUAUGGGCAGUAUUGCUUGGAAAAUAUUCCUGCUGCUCAAGCAAAUCAAUUUGAAUUUGGAAAAGGAUAUGAUGUAUCCUUUUUCAAGAUAUCAGGGAAAAAUAUCAAGGAAGAAAGAACAACAAUUGAAGGAGAACUCAACAUCCAACCCUUGUUCAAGGCGUUCCAAGAUAUCCCACCCGCCCAGCACUUUGGUUGGAUUUCAAGAAGCGCAAAGGGACCUGCAGCUCGAGGCGUACUUCUAUACAUGAUAUAAAAACAAAAAUAGCUAUAGAAGAUGGCAUGGAUCAUUUUACACUGUCAGCGUCCAAAAACACAAAGGAGUGGUCUACUGAUGUUGGUGGGUAUGGAAACCUUGCCAAUGAAUUCAUGCAAACUCCAGAGUGCCAUGCUGCAGUAGAUACAUGGACUAGCAUCGUAAGAAAACACCAAUUGGCGAGAGAGAAAGAUCCAGAAUGGAUUGCCCACCACAAGGAAAGCGAGAUCUAACGCAAAAAAAACGCGUGGAAACAAUGUAUGGCAAAACUUUAGGUCGUUCGACUUCAAUACGGACGGAGGCCGCAACUGCAAUUGCCAGUCAUCAAAAUAAUGGAUUCGAAAUGAUCAGAGACUUAGAUGGAGAUGUGGCCCGAUUUAGUACCCCUUCUCCUAACGAACAUGAUGUAUUGCUAGAAAGUCGUGAUCCUGGUCAUCAACAAGUAUUGCCUGAUGUUCAUGAAGAAAAUGGAUCGCAUCCAGAAACUUGGCCUAAAAAUUUUCAAUCCGCUGGAACUGAUAUUCUUGAUUCAGGGAGUGAGCAGUCUGUUUCAAAUAUUACUACGCGACCGAUGGCAACUUGUGUAGCUAUCUAUGGGUGUGAUUCAUCGAGACCGAAUUUCAGUAGGCCAAGUGGUGAGCUAGUUGGACCAACUACCACCACAGUUUCAAAUGCUUCAGGAAGCGAUGGUUACGCUUCUGCUCGCGGCAAUGUUCCACGAAAUUAACCCGCUCCAAUGCUGAUACCUACUUUAUCAUCGACCUCGUCUGAUUCUACCCAAAUUCCUUCCGCUUCUGCCAAGCCUGGGAGAUGCCCUCCAAGUGGCCGUGGUGUCACUGGCGCAAAAGGACGCAAUGGCUCGAAAAUCCUUGGUAGUUCUGCGGAGCGCCCAAUUGUGCACCCGUUAAGUGCCUACUGCUACCAGUCGACGUACCAGGCCCUGAAACCUAAUUCCAACCCACCAGAAUAUUACUUCAUAACAAGAGGAACGUUUCCACCCCAGUGAGCACGAACCAUAGGACUUCCGGAAGCGCCUCGCAUGGCUAAGUUUUAGAGACGGUUUUACUGCAAAGCAUGUAACUUACCCGUUUGCUCACCAAAGUGUUCAAAGAAUUUCUUUUACGGUGUGACAUGAUUUUAGUUUUUUCUUACCAAUCAAGAUUUCAAACCAACCCAACAGUUGCAAGCUGAAGCUGUUUAUAUGUGAAUGUUGUACUUCUGUACUUUUUUAUAACUGCCAGAGCAAAGAAAAAGCUUUGUUUUAAUGUAAACAAGACACUAAGCAAGUUUUAACGUCACCAUUCUCUUGCCCUAUGUUUACGCUGUCGUCCGUCCAGCGGCGAAGUAAAAGGUAGAAGACCACAAUGCAUUCAAGAAGAUUUUAUGUAAAGAUACCGGCUGUCUGUUCAUACAAAUCGGAAGAAAAUUAAACAAAGAUAACACACUAAGCCCAGACAAGAAGAAAAAAAUGGUAGACGUAGUAUUGUUUCAGUCAAAGUUUAAAAAUCUAAUAAAAAAAUGAACUUACA